ACACACACACACACACACACAAGGGCACAGAGGAUAAGCGAGAGAGUGACAGUGUGUGUGUGUGUGUGUGUGA
rnacentral:miRNA from 1 species